rnacentral:piRNA from 1 species
UACAAGGUCACCGUAUAUGUGAAUUGUGUGU